AUGUGGAACCCGCUGCGCACGCUGCCUCCUCCCUCCCCGCCGCCGCGCCGCCUCCUUCCUCCCCUGCCCGCUCGCCGCCGCCCACGGCCGGCCCCAACCAAGCGCUGCCGCCCGCCGCGCCCGCCGCCCCCAACCACCGGCCGCCAUGCAACUCUCUCCUCCGGCCGUCGUGCGCCUCCCAACCCCGGCCGUCGCGCGCCUCCUACCCCGGUCGUCGCGCGCCUCCGACCCCACCCGUCGCUCGCCUCCGACCCCUGGCCGCCGCGCGCCUCCCUCCACCCGGCUCCCUGUGCAGCUAUGGAAUCCGUCCUGGCUGAUCUGCUCUAG
rnacentral:rRNA from 1 species